UGUGCCUCAAAACCCAGCAUGUUCAAAACUUGAUUCAUCAUCGUUUGUGAAAGAAUGGCUUAUCCUCUUUUGUUUUGUUUCUUUAGAAAGGAUUCUACCAAUGCCAGCGGCAUGCACCAGAAACCAGGAAGGAAUCAUACAGCUGAGCCAACCUGCUGUACUUUAAAACACUUGACCACAAUUCUCCAGUGGAUACUCAACUCUGGCUUCAAACUCCCUUGUCUCUCCGCUCCUGUCCUAGGGAUGAGGGAGCAGAAGGCAAGCUUAGGACAAAGCAGAAACUGGCACCCUACACCCUCUCCCCAUGCCAUAUUUGUAACAUUCCUCAUGCGCUCCUGGCUGCCCUAAAGGAAAAACGAUGCUUAACUGAUAGAGAUCCCAGUCCUGCAGGACAGGAGUCUCCCUCCAUCUACGAAUGUCCUAGCGACUUACAAGGCAGGAAGAAGCUUUCUCAUCAAUAGCCUGACUUCCAGACACCCAUACCUCAGUUUCCGGAAGCCCUAACAUCACCCUCCCCUCCAUAAAAUUGAGGGAGGCUAAGGGGGAGGUAAGUGUAAUAAAACUGAAUUUCUUCUAAGCCCAAAGCCCACUGACAAGGAUGUGUGAUAGGAGGAAUGUAACAUAUCUCCAGGAAACUCCCGACUGUCUUCAUGCUUU